GCACUGCUGAGGAGUUCCACAAUAGGACGAAACGGCCGUCCAGUGU
rfam:Schistosoma mansoni strain Puerto Rico chromosome 6, complete genome